rnacentral:rRNA from 1 species
AGGGUUCGAUUCUGGCUCAGGACGAACGCUGGCGGCGUGCCUAACACAUGCAAGUCGAGCGGGGAUGAAUUAGAUGAGAGCUUCGGCAGGAUUCCGGUUAUCCAGCGGCGGACGGGUGAGUAACGCGUGAACGAUCUGUCCCAUACAGGGGGAUAACACUUGGAAACAGGUGCUAAUACCGCAUAAGACCACGGAGCUGCAUGGCUUUGAGGUAAAAGGAGCGAUCCGGUAUGGGGUGAGUUCGCGUCUGAUUAGCUGGUUGGUGAGGUAACGGCCCACCAAGGCGACGAUCAGUAGCCGACCUGAGAGGGUGAUCGGCCACAUUGGAACUGAGACACGGUCCAAACUCCUACGGGAGGCAGCAGUGGGGAAUAUUGGGCAAUGGGCGAAAAAGCCUGACCCAGCAACGCCGCGUGAGGGAAGAAGGUUUUCGGAUUGUAAACCUCUGUCCUUGGUGACGAAGGAAGUGACGGUAGCCAAGGAGGAAGCCCCGGCUAACUACGUGCCAGCCGCCGC